rnacentral:rRNA from 1 species
CAGUAGCCACGGUAAUACGGAGGAUCCGAGCGUUAUCCGGAAUUAUUGGGUUUGAAGGGUGCGUAGGCGGAUAGAUAAGUCAGUGGUGAAAGACGGUGGCUCAACCAUCGCAGUGCCGUUGAUACUGUUUAUCUUGAAUAUGGAUGAGGUAGGCGGAAUGUGGCAAGUAGCGGUGAAAUGCAUAGAUAUGCCACAGAACACCGAUUGCGAAGGCAGCUUACCAAGGCAAAAUUGACGCUGAGGCACGAAAGCGUGGGGAUCGAACAGGAUUAGAUACCCCCGUGUCCCUGUCUCUUAUACA